CCCCGGAAACCAUGCAGUAGACGUGAACCCAGAAGGAUUACUUGGUCCUUUUUUUUAUGAUCUCCACAACAUCAAACUCAACAACCUUCAAAAAAGCCACUAGUUCUCAGCAAGUCUUGCUGUGAUAAGCCCUUCCCAGAGCAGAGAAGGAAGACCAGUUCUUAUAUCAACGCAAGCUAAUUGAAUAAGUCAUUUGUUUUGGAUGAAGAAGAAACAUCUGGUGCCCAAAGAAGAC